rnacentral:snRNA from 1 species
GCGCUCACCUCUGUAGCACAUGUACUAAAAUAGGAAUGAUACAGAGAAGAUUAGCAUGGCCCUUGUGCAAGGAUGACACACAAAUUUGCGAAGUAUUCCGUAUUUAA